rnacentral:rRNA from 1 species
UACGUAGGGGGCAAGCGUUGUCCGGAUUUAUUGGGCGUAAAGAGCGUGUAGGCGGCCUGGAAGGUCAGCUGUGAAAACUCGAGGCUCAACCUCGAGACGUCGGUUGAAACCACCUGGCUAGAGUCCGGAAGAGGAGUGUGGAAUUCCCGGUGUAGCGGUGAAAUGCGUAGAUAUCUGGAGGAACACCGGUGGCGAAGGCGGCAUCCUGGACCGGUAUUGACGCUGAGGCGCGAAAGCCAGGGGAGCAAACGGG